GACGGUGCUGGAGUCUUGCCUUCGUGCCGCGCAGGGGGCGUGCCUUCCGUGGCGCCACUGCCUUGCUGCCAGCCCGGCAGCGUCGCCCCACUCCUGUGGGACGGCUAUCCUGGCGCGGAGUCGGCUGUCCCUUCCAGGCUGCGUACUGCAGCCGCCGUCAACGGAUGCGGCGGGCCGUGUGGUAUGUUGGGAUUGGGACGUGGGUCACCUGCGCCUGCGCUUCGUGUGUGUGUAUGCGCCCACGGCCGUGGCGGACAAGCCUGCUUUCUUUGCCGGGCUGCAUACCCACCUGGCCUCGGACAGGGUGCUUGUUGUCGGUGGGGACUGGAACUGUGUCACCGAUGCCAGUCAGGAGGCGGCCCCUAGCCCAUCACGUGCUGCAGGUGCCCCGCAACUUGCCAGCCUCCUCGCCCAGUUCAGUCUGGUGGACCCUUGGGCGAGCAAGCGUGGCGGCGCCAAGGGCUACACGCAUCCGGCCACGCCCAAGCCGGCCACUCCCGCACGCCUGGAUCGGUGGUAUGUCAGUGCCGCCGCGGCGCCGUGGGUGGUGGAUGUCGCUCGCACGUAUGGGGCGCCUGGGGACCACAACGGUGUGCUGCUCACCCUGUCCUUGCCCGACCUGCCACAUGCGCACCGGGAGCAGUGGCGCUUCCCCACAUACCUGCUGUUUCACCCCUCGCUGCGUCUGGAGCUCGAGCAGCGCUUGGAGGCGCACGUUGCCGCAAAUCCUGUGACCAGUACAGGUGACGGCGAUUGCACGCAAUGGGAGGCGGACAAGUUCUUCUUGCGGGAGGCCGCCACCAGCAUCCACCGUCGGCAUGCACGCCAGACCCGGGACGGGCUGCAUGGCGUGGUGCUGGCCGCAGACGCGGCCGCUGCCCUGGCCGACCGGCCGGGUGCCAGCGCCGCGCAGCGUCAGGCUGCGGCCAUGGCCAACUUGGCGGUGUGGGAGGAGCGGGCAGCUGCCGCAGCGGCCAGCCACAAUGCCCGCGCUGCACUGAUGGAGGAGCAUGGGGAGCGGGGCACUCGCUGGUUCCAUCGGCAGGCUGACGAGCCAGCAGCCGGCGCGCAGGAGCCCAUCACGCACUUGAAGGUGCCGGGGCAACCGGCGCCUGUGGCGCUCACGGGGCCGGGCACGCGCAACACUGUCUCCGCAGCCGCUGCAGCCAUGUACAGCAGCACCACUUUACUUUACUUUACUUUACUUUACUCUCUUCUCUUGCUAUUCUUGCAUCCUCUUUUCCUUCUGCACAGCUUUGAAACAGUCGACGUCAUUUCUCUCGCGCUGUUUGACUUGCUUCCUUUUGUUUUAGGCUUCUUAAGGCCUACGAACCACUGUGAAGCAGUUUGCAUUUGUGGGCGUCCUCGUUUUUCGUCAGUCCACUUUGCAGCUGUAGCGCGACACUCCCUCUCCAGCGCCCUUCAGCCUAUGCCGGCUUGUGCUUUGGAACUCGACACCGCUAUGGAAUAGGAUUCUGGCGGUCCAGGAGCGUCGCCGUGGAGUUGGCGACAUUUCGCUUGUCAGCAUUUUAACAUCUCGGCGAGCACCACACUUCACCAGCUUGGAGCAGGCGGCGUAUCAACCUUUGUGGUUGGUCAUUUGCAUCCGCGCGUGCAGCAGGGUGCUUUGGGUGUGGCAGUCGGGGGCGCCCUGCAGCACUUGGCUGUUUUUUUGGGGUGUGGCUCGUCUUCGUGCCCUUGUUGCCUGGUGCAUGGUUGCCUGGCGCCCGCCCUGCUGUGAUGCCCUGUGAGUGCUGAUCCUGGGCAGCUAUGCAGUUGCUGGGUGAUCCUGGUCGGUUCCGCCUGGUGUCUCAGCGCAGCCAAGACACCAGGGGCCAACGCCAGCCAUACAGCACACCCACACACAGCGCGGCCACAGCAGCACAUGCCGUGCCGUGUGGGGGGCCUGCCUUUGGGCAUCGCCGCCCACUGCCAGGCUUGGCAGCGGACAGCACCCCUGCUGGUGGGGGCAACGCUGCCAGCCCGUUCUUCAGCCCCGGGCUGCAGCUCCACCUUGCCCUGUCCACGCAUAGCCUGGCGCACGGAGUGCAGGACCUGACGACGCAGCCUCAGGGCCCCAGCCUGCCUACCUACCCAGUCCUUCUGGUGGGUGCCACCACGGGGCUCCCAGAGGGCGAGCAGCUGUCCUCAGCCAGCGUCCGGGAAGUGACCAGUGCUGCCCUGUCAGUGCUGGACACCAUGUGCCGGCAGGGCAACCAGCCGCAGCUCUUGCAGGGCCACUCUCUGCACAGCACAGGCCACCCCUCCCGCACGCUUGCGGGGCUGGCCUUCAGCCGGCGCGCGACCAGCGCCAGCAAAGCAGCCUUCACAGCGGAGCUCAUGCGCAAGUCGCCGCUGGCGGUACCACUCCAGCGCGGUCAGGCUGUCCUCACGGUUCACGUGCCAGUGGACACCCGGCCCAUCAUUCCGGGCACCUACACCGUCACGGUCAAGAUGGUAGGGGGCCCUGUGUGGGGGGCUUUCCGUGGUCGCACCGAUUUGGUGCUGCAGGCGGGUGGCUAUCCCACCACCUCGGACCCCUCUAACCUGACAUGUGCUUAUGUGGUCUCAGAGCAGUGCGCCAAAUCGGUGGGCCCCAAGGGGGAGCCCCAGGCCCCCGCAGGCCAGGGCAUCACCAACCACAUCUUUGCCUGUGUGCGGGGCCCCAUCUGGGACCCGCAGCUCUCUCACCUGCACUGUGCCAAGUUUGAGAUGCCCGGUGAGGAGCCCAUGCAGGUGGAGGUCCGUGGCGCCCCCCAGGCGGCUGGGACGGCCACGACAGCUGUGGCAGGCAGCCCUGCUCCGGCUGCAGCCGGGGUCGCCGACCUGGGUGGCAACACCUUGGGUGUGGCGAGGCCCGCGGCUGCCAUGGCGACCGCAGCGGACAUUGUUGACCACGUGGGGGACGUGCAGAUGCAGGAGGCGGCGGGUUUGGGUGACGCGGCGGCUGCAGCUGGUGGCGCCAGCGGGCCACACAGCGGGGCCCUGCCCCCGCUGCCAGUUCUGGUGGCGGGGGGAAGCAACCGUGCUGCUGCAGCUGCCCUGCGGGCCGCGCUGCAGCAGCAGCCCUCUUCACAGCAGCGGGUGACAGCGGGAGGGCUUAGCGGGGUCCAGCCGGCGGCAUGUGUGGGGGGGCCGCUGGCGGCCGGGCCUCGCCCUGCCGGUGCUGGGCCGGCUGGCGUGCAGCAGCAGCCCAGUGGGGCUCCCGCGCCACUGCCACCCUUGGAUCAGCGGGCAGCCGCCGGGCAGGAUCAGGAGCAGACUGCUGUGAUGCGGCGGUACUUGGCCGAGCUGGCGGACCUCAAUCUUCAGCGGCAACAGCGGUUACAGCAGCAGCAGCAGCAGGAGCUGCAGCGCCAGGGGCAGUCACCCAGGCCCCGGACCGGCUCCCAGGUUAUGGUCCUGGCCACGCUGGGGGGACAGGACGGGGCGGGCGGUGGCGCUGGCAGGGCGGCGUCACGGCGUGGGCAACGUGUUGACGUAGUUGACCACAUGGGGGACGUUCAGAUGCAGGAGGCGGCGGGUUUGGGUGACGCAGCGGCUGCCGCGGGUGGCGUCAGCGGACCACCCGCUGUGGCCUCGCCCUCGCUGCUAGCUCUGAUGGCGGGGGGAAGCACCCGGGCUGCUGCGGCUCCCCUGAGGGCCGAGCGGCAGCAGCAUCCCUCUUCACAGCAGCGGGUGGCAGCGGGAGGGCUUAGCGGGGGGCAGCCGUCAGCAGGCGUGGGGGGGCCGCCGGCGGCCAGGCGUCGCACGGCCGAUGCUGGGCCGGCUGGCGUGCAGCAGCAGCCCAGUGGGGCUCCCGCGCCGCAGCUGCCCUUUGAUCAGCGGGCAGCCGCCAGGCAGGAUCAGCAGCUGACAGCUGCGAUGCAGCGGUACUUGGCCCACAAGGCGGACCUCCAUCUCCAGCAGCAACGGCGGGUACAGCAACAGCAGCAGCAGGAGCAGCAGUGCCAGGUGCAGCCGCCCAGGCCCCGGACCGGCUCCCGGUUUGAGGUGUUGGCCACGCUGGGGGGACAGGACGGGGCGGGCGAUGGCGCUGCCACGGCGGCGCCCGGGCGUGGGCGACGGGUGCAACCAGCCGCGCACGCACCGCCACCGCCGCCGCAGCAACAGCCCCGCUCCAAAGGGCGCGGUGGCCCCGCCCAGCUCCCGCAGCAGAGGGCAGGGCGCUUGGGCGGCGGGCUGCCUCCCCCGCAGGACGGUGCUAGCUCGCCGCCGCGCGUGCCCACUGGGCGGCCGGCCGGGGGACAGCAGGCUGGUGGGGGCAGCGGGUCGGGGCGCCAGGGUGGAGGAGCGGGACAGGCAGUGCCCCAGCCGCCGCCCCAGGCGCGGCCGCCACUGCAGACGUCACAACCGGCGGGUGGUGGUAAGGGCAGGGGCAGGGGCCUGGGCGCGCCGGCUGGGGUUUCGGCCGACACGGCUGGGCGCGCGGGUGGGGGUGCGGGCAGUGAGGCGGAGUACGGGGCCGUUAGCCUGACCCGGGACAUGUGUGUUGCCAUCGGCUCUGACCUCGUGACGCACCAGAACCGCUGCGCAGAUGUGCAGGGGUAUGAGUGGGUGCAGCUGGGCCACGACACGCUUGGUGGCCGCCUCCUCGCCUACCUCCGUGACCAGGGCGCCACCGUACCGGACUGGGCCGUCUGCCGCGUGCCGGCUGGCCGUACCGCCGUCCUGGCACAGCUGCACGACGAGUUCACUGGCUGGUGGCGCCUAUACUCAGCCCAGCCUGCAGACACGCCCCUGCCCUCUGAUGUGACGGAGCAGCUGGAUGACGCCGCGCAGCAGGUGCAGACGGCCUACAUGGACUACGUGCUCCUAGACGCCCGCACCCUGCGGUCCGCUAAGCGUGGGCUGGCGGACCCCGGCGGGGCCAGCGGACCCAGCCGCCGGCAACGCCAGCACCGCAGCCGCAGUACCUCCAGCCUCAUGAGCCUGGGCAGCGCUCCGUUGCACCCCGGCGGCGCCAGCUCAGGUGCCGCUAGCAUGAGCACCAGCAGCGGCGGCGCGCCCCCCAGCCAGGGUGGCGACCGCCGCAGCAAACGCCACAGCAGCAACAGCAACCGCACCCGCCACGGCGCUGCCGUGGCCGGCGGGGGCUCAUAAUGCGGCCACCAGUGGGAGCGGCGAACCUUCGGCUGCUGACAGUGAAUGUCAACGGCCUGGGCUCGCCGCUCAAGGCGCGGGCGCUGGUCUCGCACCUGCAGCAAGUUGGGGCGGAUGUGGCGAUGGUGCAGGAGACCCACGCUACUGACACGACGGUGCUGGAGUCUUGCCUUCGUGCCGCGCAGGGGGCGUGCCUUCCGUGGCGCCACUGCCUUGCUGCCAGCCCGGCAGCGUCGCCCCACUCCUGUGGGACGGCUAUCCUGGCGCGGAGUCGGCUGUCCCUUCCAGGCUGCGUACUGCAGCCGCCGUCAACGGAUGCGGCGGGCCGUGUGGUAUGUUGGGAUUGGGACGUGGGUCACCUGCGCCUGCGCUUCGUGUGUGUGUAUGCGCCCACGGCCGUGGCGGACAAGCCUGCUUUCUUUGCCGGGCUGCAUACCCACCUGGCCUCGGACAGGGUGCUUGUUGUCGGUGGGGACUGGAACUGUGUCACCGAUGCCAGUCAGGAGGCGGCCCCUAGCCCAUCACGUGCUGCAGG
rnacentral:lncRNA from 1 species